rnacentral:lncRNA from 1 species
UUGUAUUUAAUCAGUUUUCUACUCAAAAUGUAUGUUCACAAUCAACUUGUUGUCCAUGGUUUGGAAAAUUACCUGGAUACAACAAAAACAAACCAAAAAUGUGCCUAGAGUCAGCUAAUAGCAGAAGCAAACAGAAUCAACUUCAAAAACCAGUAACACCAAAUAAAAAUCCAUUUCUUCAAACCAGUAAAGAGCCCAAAUGAACAACAAAUUACAGAGUCUCGAAAAUCUGAUUAGCUAAGAAGUUCUAAGGCAUAAUUAGACCAGUUUUGACCAAAGAAAUGUAGGGAAUUUUUAAUAUUCUUUCAAAGUCUUUAAAGCUCAGCCAUUUUUUUAGUAUUUUUCAAUCUCCAAAAUCUGACUUGUGUGUGAAGAAACAAUGCUUUUAUAAGGAACUUUUUGGACAGCAGAAAUGAGUCAAGUUUUUGCCCUUUACCCCUUUUCAAAUUUUCAUUUUUGCUCAUAUGUCCUUAGUCUGAAAAUCAGCUUUCUAAAUUAGUCCCAAUCCCAUCUUUUAGGCAGCUUCCUAAGUUAGUUACAAGAGAUUCCCUAGCCUAUAAUUCCUAAACUAACCCUUAAGAACCCUGUUUUUACCCCAGCCUAGCUCAUGGGUCAAGUUGACCCAAUAGCUUAAACCAAAAUGAACGGGCUGCUUUUUGCAAAUGGGUUAGAAACGACCUAAAGCCCAAACAAUAAACUAAUCCAACUAAAUUCAUUAAGCAUAUGGGAAACAGCAGAACACAAACACUUGAAUUAUUUCAAAAAUUAAAAAUUUGAACUAAGUGACCAAUUAAUAAUACAAAUGGGCAUAGAAUUAACUAGGUUAUUAAAUCGAAACAACCUAAUUAAAUUAAACUAUGUGACUAAAACAAAAGGCAAAAUCAGAGGUUUAAGCAUGACAUUAAUAAAACUAAACAGACCACUGAAAAUCAGAGAACAAGCUUUUAAGAUUUGAAAAAGAAAACUGAACACAAAAUUAAUCUAAAGGGAACCUAGGUUCAGGACCUUGCUCAAAUUUCAUUCAAAGUAAAAAAAAAACUAAAGAAAAGGAGAGGAAAAGAAGAGAAAUAAGACAGUGAAACAACAAGAACGGACAAAGAGAAGAAGAAAACUUAACAAAUCAAAAUCAAUACCCACUGGAGACAUUGAUUUAAACGAAACUAAUGUUAAUCAUUUGUUCUUUGUCAAGAACAACUGAAUAAGAUCAGUUUGCGUUGGAUCAAACUUCAAACUCGAAAGAAACAGAAGCCUAUGGUCAUGCAUGCCAACGGGUUCAACGGAAAUUGAUUUUGGACUUUUAGGGUUCGAACUCAAAUUUACAAUUCGAGGGGUUAUGGACAGAUUCGAGGAAAAUUGGUUGGGGAUUGGGAAAAGGGAUGAUGUGAGGGUCUUGUGGUGUAGAUUUGGGGUGGAUUGGAUGCGGCGCCGCCGGCUGGAGAAUUGGGGCGGCGCUAGGGUUUAGGUUAGUCUUUGAAGAGGGAGAUGGGGAGUGAGAGAUAUGAG